rnacentral:rRNA from 1 species
UACGUAGGGUGCGAGCGUUAAUCGGAAUUACUGGGCGUAAAGCGUGCGCAGGCGGUGGCUCAAGCCAGGCGUGAAAGCCCCGAGCUUAACUUGGGAAUUGCGCUUGUGACUGGCGUGCUGGAGUGUGGCAGAGGGAGGUGGAAUUCCACGUGUAGCAGUGAAAUGCGUAGAGAUGUGGAGGAACACCGAUGGCGAAGGCAGCCUCCUGGGCCAGCACUGACGCUCAUGCACGAAAGCGUGGGGAGCAAACAGG